CCUACGGGAGGCAGCAGUGGGGGAUAUUGCACAAUGGGGGGAACCCUGAUGCAGCGACGCCGCGUGGGUGAAGAAGCGCCUCGGCGCGUAAAGCCCUGUCAGCAGGGAAGAACAUGACGGUACCUGAAGAAGAAGCACCGGCUAACUACGUGCCAGCAGCCGCGGUAAUACGUAGGGGGCAAGCGUUAUCCGGAUUUACUGGGUGUAAAGGGAGCGUAGACGGCUGUGCAAGCCUGAAGUGAAAGGCGGGGGCCCAACCCCUGGACUGCUUUGGGAACUGUACGGCUGGAGUGCAGGAGAGGUAAGUGGAAUUCCGAGUGUAGCGGUGAAAUGCGUAGAUAUUAGGAGGAACACCAGUGGCGAAGGCGGCUUACUGGACUGUAACUGACGUUGAGGCUCGAAAGCGUGGGGAGCAAACAGGAUUAGAUACCCUUGUAGUC
rnacentral:rRNA from 1 species